GCCGAGCUCAGUAGCAUGAGCUUGUAACCCAUGCGGGGGCUUUGGGUAGAUGGAACGUUGGGCCACACCAUUAGGUAGGGCGUGGGUGGCAUUCUUCUGGUCUGCCCAAUCCAAGUGGGGACUUGGCCAUGGUACCUCUGCGAAGGCCGAGGUGUCUUGGCUAUUGAAUUAGAGGGUAAUGCGUGAGGCUGGUUUCACAGAGCAGCGAAAAUCUCCAACUCUCUACGCUGGAUGGAUAGCGGAUCGGUGCGACCCAAGCUCAUCCCAAGCUCAUUAAGUGCCUUGUGGUUGGCUCCAACCUAACCAUCACCCUU
rnacentral:SRP_RNA from 1 species